UCUGGGCACCCUGUAUAAUGCUCGAGCUCACUGGCUGUCUAGCACACCGUCCUGUUGUACGGGCUGCACAAAACAGGGCCGUGCCAUCUCCUCUUCAUUGCUCUGAACCCGCUCCUGCUUUUACAGAUAGGAAAGCGAGGAUUCAGGGAGACACCUGCAACCUCAGCAGGAAGCAUCACAGGAGCCAUCAUUCUGCUUUUACUACAUGCUGCUCCAGGAAAUAUGUGGAGAAGUUUACAAAACUACAAGGAUCAUCAUAAGAUAAAUAAAGAGUAGAGGAAGCUGCAGUGAAGGAUGAAUGAGGCAGAAAUAGCAAGGUGGGAGUGGUGUCACCUUAAGACGCACCUGGCCCCUUGUCAGCUCACAGGGAGCCUCCUUCCUGCCUCUGCCUUUCUGGAAACUGGCUCCGUGUGCAUGGCUUGGAGGAAAGGAAGGAGCUGCAGUCACCUGACCCCAGCUUUGGCGCUCCUGAGGCUUUAAACCAGACCUGACAAAUAUGGUUGACUGCACAAUGGUGACAUAUAAUUCAAAUCAAAGGGAGCGUGGGGAAGACCAGCCUGCUCAAACUUUCUUCUCCCACAUUUGGUGAAAAUCAAGGCACCCGCUCUGGACUGCUUGUUUCCUCUUGGUUAACCACCAGGCUAGGGAGGCGGAAUUUCUCUGCCAGGCUCAGGUGUGGUUCUCUGGACAACAGGGAUCUAUGUGACUGGUGCAGGAGGCAAGGCAGGGUGGCUUUCUUUAGAGAUUCUGUAUUCUGCACUGUUGAGGAGUCCAACGUCUCAGAGAACAAACGAUCAUGACAUGCACAAGGGAGUUUAAGGCCACUGGGACGUGCAGUUCCCCGUCACCUGCUGCAGCCCACCGUGCUUGCACACUGAGGUGCCUCACCGUCUAAGACCCAAGCACAGCACAGUGUCCUUCCUCUUCUCCACAGUGUCCUGGAAUCUGCUUCUUACUGUGUGUACAGAACCUGCUGCGACCACACUGCCUGCUCUGUGAAGGCAGGGAAAGCAAGUGCCUGGCUCAGUGCAGGGUACCCCUCCCCAGCCCCUGUACCUGUUGGACGAAGACUCUUUCAAAAAAAUGACGUUAUGAUAUGUCCAAAGCAGUGUGCCAGAAAAGUGUGUUUGUGUGUGUGAGGACGUUGGGAAACAUCUGGGGGUGCUUUGCUUUUCAUAAUGGCUGAGGACUACAGACAAGAAUGGGCAGCCCUCAGGGAACCUGAGCAUCAGCAACAUGGGGAUGCACCUACAGAGUGAAGAGUGUCCUGCCAACACCCAUGAAGCUCUUAAUGAAAACCAGUAGUUUUUCCAUUUAAGAAAAAGCAAACAAAAACAAAAACCAAACUGUUCUCUAUGUUCUCACUAUGCCAAAGUUCUCACAUUAGGAAAAGUCCCCAGACUCAUGGGUGGGUCUUGCAGUUUUAGCCCCCAAUCCCACCGCCCCCACUUUCACCUCCCUGCUCGUGGGGCUGGACCCACCACAUGCUCACUGCCGUGAGAGAUCCGCCCAGGAAACAAGGCCUCAGCUCACCCUCCACCAGAUCUGCCCAGGACUGUGUCUCAAUUACACAACACAGCCAACUGUGAGAACUAAUCCUAGAAGAGCUGAUGCAACUGUUUCCACUCUGCCAAGCUGUCCUGGUGGCCUGUGUUUAAAAAUGGGUGUGAGAAGCCACCAUGAGGAGGAUGACGUGGGGCCACCUGCUCAGCCUGUGCUCGGGGACAAGUAGGUUGGGCAAUGACAGAUGCUAUUUGCAUAGAGGAUGACCUGCUGGCUUCUGACCACACAUGCAUGCAACAUGUGGAGCACUGCUGAAGCUCAGGGGACCUGGGGCAUAAGAAGAGGGCGAGGCUCCUGUCCUCUCCUACUUGGUCAGUCUGUCCAGUUGUGAGUCAGGAGGAGCAUGUGGAGGGUGUUGAGUUUUUGCUGCAUGGGUAAAUCUGUGGGUUCUACCCCUCAGGUUUUGUAAGCCUCAAAUUCAAAUAUUCUGUAGCAGAUUCUCACAAAUCCAUCACUGUACCUCAGAGAAGUUGUCAUCAUUUUUCUGUUUGGGCUGAUGAGCAGGAAAUGUGUUCUCAGCUGUAUGCUCAGUGGGUCAGCAGUUAUUACAGGGCCUGUCUGUGUAUCAGAUGGGAAGUUGGGAACAUCACGGGAGUGUUGACAGAUAAAUGUACAGACAUCUGUGAUGCCCUAUGUAUGCUCAGUGCAGGAGAGACCCCCUGGAGGCAUCUCCACCCUAGUACCUACCCCUGUGAUGAAGUUACCUGUUGUGCUAGAAGGAACUAUGCAAGUGAGACUAACUUAAGCAUCUUGAGAUGGAGAGAACAUUCAGGAUUAUCCAGGGGCCCAGUGUAAUCUCAAGUGACAUUAUAAGAGAAGGAAAGGGAGGGCAGUGAUGAUGAAACAAGGGGGGCAGAGGGUGAGAGGAAAGAUUCAUGAGUCAAAGAACGUGUAAAGUUUCCAGGAGCUGAAAAGAAAUGAUGAAGUGUAUUCUCUCCUACAGUUUGCAGAAAGAGUGAGGCCCUGCUAACUUUUUGAUGCAGCCAUUUUAUCUCCAGAACUGUAAAAGUAUAAAUUCGUAUUAUUUUAAGCCACUAAGUUUAUGGCAAUUUGUUAGAAGAACAAUGAGAAACUCAUAUGGUGUGCAAAUUAUUGUGUGGAAUCUACAGCUAACAUCGUGCUUCAUGGUGAAGAUCUGAAUGUUUCCACUGGAGGUUAGGAAGAAAGAGAAAAUCUCCCUUACCUUGAUAUUCAGUGCAUUACUGGAAGUUAUAGUUAGGGAAAUAAGGCAAAAAGACAAAGAAAAAGUAUAUGGGUGAACAAAGAAGACAUAAAACUGGCUUUAUUUAUAGGUGAAAUGAUUGUCUAAGUAGAAAAAUCCCAAGGGAUCUACAAAACAACUUUUGGAAUUUGUUAGUGAAUUCAGCAAAGUCAUAGUUUAUAAAGCUGACACAUAAAAAUCAUCCACAUUUAUAUAUAUCGUGGAGGAAGGUGGGAAGGCAGGAAAAGGGGUGAAAAAAGUAAAGCUGCAUUAUGUACAUGC